AAGAGGAGGAUUUCUCUGACCAGCAGCUCUAUGAACAGGAGAGGAAUUCCAGUUUGGACGAAGAACCAAAACCUCUGCAGAUAAAAGAAGAGCAGAAAGCUUCUUCCUAUAACAAACUAGAUUCUUUCUCAAGGUUCAUUUAUAACAUGUUACUUUUUAACCAAAGUGUUUUGACUCUAACUACUUUUCCAUUGUUGUAAGUAAGGGGGAACAAAUGCUGCCCAGAUCAGAACAGAGCAGAAUGCUGUGCCAUUAGGGCUGUAUGAUGAUCUGUUCUCUCUUUGCAAAGAUAUGACUGAGUGAAAUCCACCGAUCUCCAUUUAUUUUACUAGGAUGAAUAGUUGAAUACUUUUUUCCCACGACAAUUUGGCGUUGUCAAUGCAGGAUUCUCCUUGACUGAUUUUUUUCUGAGGACAGCGAUUGUCAGAAGUGUCAGGUACCACCUGGAGGAAGCAGUCUUCCAGCCUCAAUACCCCGUUAGAAGGUUAAGGGAGUGAGGACUUCUGGCAUCGAGGUCCCUGGAGGUCAGCAGGAGGAUCAAAACAAACCAUUUAUUUUUUGAGACGGUGAGAUGAAUCAUUUGUCUGCACAGAUUAAAUUGAAUUAAAAAAAAAAAAAUACAAAACAACAGAUUGUUAACAGAUUUAAUGAUUAUUAGAAAUCAAAUACUGGAAAAUUAUCUCAAACAAAGUCAUCUUCUCCAUUAAAAUAAUCAAAUAAAUAAAUAUAAUCUAGCAAAAAAUAAAUAAAUAAAUAAAUAAAUAACUAAAUUAAAUAGAGAAAAGUAUGUUGUGAGAGGAACGUGACUUAAGGUGACAGAAGGAUGAAGUGGGGCGACUGACCAGACGACAUUCCUUUCCUGAAAAGGCUUCUUCUUUUAUACGGUAAAGAUGAACAACUUUAUAUAAUUAUAAAAUCUUGUAUUAUUCAUUUGAAACAUUGGAACUCUUCCUUAAAUUAACCAUUUUUUUUUUUACUCCCUGCCCUUUAAACAUGGACUCCCUGAUUGGAGCCGCUCCUUGCGGAUGUUGGGAUCUGGAGGUCUGUCCACCUUUCUCCAGCUGAGGGCGCCCUAGGUCUCCUGGAGCUGAAGCUGACUACCACACCUGCGGCUCGUUUGCUCAUCAGGAGCCCAGCAUUUAAGCAGUGGCAGAGCAACACUCCAGUGCCAGAGUGUUAAGCCAGUUACGGAAGAACCUGUCUGAACCCAGAAACUCAGGAAGAGUUUCUCAGUCUGAAACCAGUCUGUCUGAUCUCAGGAGAACCCUGGAAGGUCAAUCUGUAAGAUACCUGUCUGCCUAGCUCUCUGCCUGCCAACAGCCUCUGGACCCUCCUGGUUCCCCUCAUCUGCCGCUCAGCUCAAACCUCUGAACAGAGAAACCAGUCGUGACCAGUCCUGAAUCUGAUAACCCCCUGACCUGUUUAUUCAAUAAACCUUUGAACUUUU